rnacentral:rRNA from 1 species
GACGAACGCUGGCGGCGUGCCUAAUACAUGCAAGUAGAACGCUGAAGGAGGAGCUUGCUUCUCCGGAUGAGUUGCGAACGGGUGAGUAACGCGUAGGUAACCUGCCUGGUAGCGGGGGAUAACUAUUGGAAACGAUAGCUAAUACCGCAUAAGAGUAGAUGUCGCAUGACAUUUGCUUAAAAGGUGCAACUGCACCACUACCAGAUGGACCUGCGUUGUAUUAGCUAGUUGGUGAGGUAACGGCUCACCAAGGCAACGAUACAUAGCCGACCUGAGAGGGGGAGUAGGCACACGGGAAAUGAGAAACGGGCCCAGACCCGAAGGGGGGCAGGAGGGGGGAAGAUUGGGACAUGGGAGGAAGGCUGAUCCAGCCAUAGCGGGGGGGGGGAGAAGGGGUUCGGGUUGGAAAGCCCCUGUGUUAGGAAAGAAAAGCAGCAGGGUAAGAAAACGUCGUUCUGAGGGGGCAUAAAAAAAAAGAACCGGCUAACUUCGUG